rnacentral:rRNA from 1 species
GCGGGUAAAAUGCGCAGAUAUCAGGAGGAACACCGAUGGCGAAGGCAGGUCUCUGGGCAUUAACUGACGCUGAGGAGCGAAAGCAUGGGGAGGGAACAGGAUUAGAUACCCUGGUAGUCCAUGCCGUAAACGUUGGGCACUAGGUGUGGGGGACAUUCCACGUUUUCCGCGCCGUAGCUAACGCAUUAAGUGCCCCGCCUGGGGAGUACGGCCGCAAGGCUAAAACUCAAAGGAAUUGACGGGGGCCCGCACAAGCGGCGGAGCAUGCGGAUUAAUUCGAUGCAACGCGAAGAACCUUACCAAGGCUUGACAUGAACCGGAACGGCGCAGAGAUGUGUCGGCCACUUGUGGCCGGUUUACAGGUGGUGCAUGGUUGUCGUCAGCUCGUGUCGUGAGAUGUUGGGUUAAGUCCCGCAACGAGCGCAACCCUCGUUCCAUGUUGCCAGCGGGUUAUGCCGGGGACUCAUGGGAGACUGCCGGGGUCAACUCGGAGGAAGGUGGGGACGACGUCAAAUCAUCAUGCCCCUUAUGUCUUGGGCUUCACGCAUGCUACAAUGGCCGGUACAAAGGGUUGCGAUGCUGUGAGGUGGAGCUAAUCCCAAAAAGCCGGUCUCAGUUCGGAUUGAGGUCUGCAACUCGACCUCAUGAAGUCGGAGUCGCUAGUAAUCGCAGAUCAGCAACGCUGCGGUGAAUACGUUCCCGGGCCUUGUACACACCGCCCGUCAAGUCACGAAAGUUGGUAACACCCGAAGCCGGUGGCCUAACCCUUUGGGGGGAGCCGUCGAA